GUCUUCUUCAAGCACCCCCACCCCCCGACUCCAUCUUCUCCAACAACCCCUUCCAUAACUUUAUCUUCUUCGUGAGACAAACCAAACAACACCCAUGCUCUCUUCAUCAACCCCAUAUACCAAUAGCCCCCAAACUUGGAACAACCCAGCUCGCCGGAAAAAAUGCCAACGACCCCUGAACGUUAAUCAUCAAACGACCCCAUCUCUGCCUGAAACUCGCCGGAAAAACGAGCUCCACCAGCUCGUCGGAUUAACGAGUUCCAGACGCGACCCCUUCUUCAAGAGACCAAACCAUCUUCUUCAUCACCAGAGCUGGCAGGGAGUCCAAUGACAACUUUCGAGCUCUAGAGCUAACGAACAAAGGCGCUGAAAAUAGUGAGGAGUUAAAAAACUCGUUUAACACCCUUUUCCGGUGAGUCUCGAAUUUCUGGUUGAGCUUCGAUGACUGAAUUUCGACAAUCGUUUCCCUUGGUUCCUUGUCGAGGUCCGUUCACUGGUUCCGUUUAGUUCAAAGGUCGGAUAGCUAUUCUUCAAGUUGAAAUUUAGAGUUGUUCAUUGUUGAUUGCCAGAUUUGUUGGCUGCUGUUGGCUGAGCUUCGAUUUCAAGUAGAUCCAGGAGUUGCGGUUCAUGAUAGUGAGCAUUGAUCGUUCAUUAAGCAGGUCUCUGAGUUGACAAGGUAGCUGCAUGACGUUCGCAGCACUGUUCUUCUCCCUCAUAUCUUCCCUAUAUUUAUUUAGUAUUGUCUUCCAUACUUUUUCGGACUUUAUUGUAUUGAGAUAUAGUUGUAGUUGCUUGUGACUUGUGACACCCUGAUGUCGAGCUUGUGUGUUUAUUAUGCACUGGUUAAUUAGUCUUAUGUUAUGAAAUAUUA